rnacentral:rRNA from 1 species
CAGUCGCCACGGGAAUACGUAGGGUGCAAGCGUUAAUCGGAAUUACUGGGCGUAAAGCGUGCGCAGGCGGUUUGUUAAGACAGAUGUGAAAUCCCCGGGCUCAACCUGGGAACUGCAUUUGUGACUGGCAAGCUAGAGUCUGGCAGAGGGGGGUGGAAUUCCGCGUGUAGCAGUGAAAUGCGUAGAUAUGCGGAGGAACACCGAUGGCGAAGGCAGCCCCCUGGGCCAACACUGACGCUCAUGCACGAAAGCGUGGGGAGCAAACAGGAUUAGAUACCGAGUAGUCCCUGUCUCUUAUACA